rnacentral:rRNA from 1 species
CUGCAAAGCUUGAAACUUAAAGGAAUUGACGGAAGGGCACCAUCAGGCCUGGAUUAUGUGGCUCAAUUGGAUUCGACGCCCAGUACCCAACCAGGACCGGAGCACCCGACGAAGCACUGCUCGAAUAGCCUUGCCGAUGAGUGUGCGGGUGGUGCAUGGCCGCCGUAGUUCGUGAGGUGACUUGUCUGGUUAAUUCCGACAACGAACGCAACCGCCCCGUUCGACUAUGAGCCCUGCGCAUAUUGCGUACGGCCCUUAGGAAACUCGAACUGACAAACUCGAUGGAGCGGGUCUAGCCGCAACGCGAGAGGAAGCUUACGGCGAUGGCAGGUCUGUGAUGCCCCUAGAAGCCCUGGAUCGCACACGUCAAUACAAUGCCCGACUCAAACGCGCUUACGCUCGGCCGAGAGGACUUACAGUAAUCGCACAAAAAGUC